UGAGUGAACAGUUUGACUGCACUGGCUUAUUGAGAAUUCAGAAUACUGGCUGCCGGAGAAUAGACAUCGUGUUGCAUUAAAUUUGUUGUUAUGCUUGUCCAAUUCUCAUCUACUUGCCUACCCGGAAAUGGAGCGUCUGAAUUAAUCCUCCAGAGCAUAUUGCAAAAAUUUGGCGCUCGACUGGAAUUUGCGAAGGGGAGCGUGAAUUGUCAUGGCAGCGUCUGUUUGUCACACGAAGCGAUUGACCUGGAAAUGAAAGCGACGAAGUUGGCAAGCCGCGGCUGACUGCGUAGCUAGAAGCCGCCAUUUGUGGCAAAUAGAGGGAUUGCAACUGGCACUUUCAUUUACUUUUGAAUGAAAGAAUUGAAGUGUUGAGACUUUGUACAAGUGUUGGAAAGAAACAUUGUUGAUUACACAAGUGAACAAUGAAAUGAGAGUUGUCUCUGAAAUAUUGGAGAGAAGCUAAUUUGACUGGAUCUAUUUGGCAACAUUUUGGCAUAUACAAUGGAAUCUGAUCAACUCUUCUUAUGGACUUUGUCGGCUCAAGCUCUUUCCUCUUUGAUAUUGUUACAAUGCUGGCUUAUCAAAUAUUGGUGUUUGAAGUAUUGGAAGAAAGAUACAAUUUUGACACACUUUUAUGUGACUUACAACACCUCUCAACCUCAACAUUCUGUACUGGGAUGUCCCACGUGACCUCUCACCUGACACAACCCUCCUAUUCUACAAGAUCUGUUCAACUUUUCUUAUGGAACCUUUUAUCAGCUCAAGUUCUUUCUUCUUUCAUAUUGUCGCAUUGCUGGCUUAUCAAGUACUGGUGAGAUGUAUGCCAAGAUGAGAAAAAGAUCAACAAUCGAGCUUAACCGGUCACGUGAGCAACAAUUCAAUAAUAAUAAUAAUAUGUUUUUCUUUAUAACGUUGUGGACACUGCCAUAGUCAAUAGCAUCCUUCUAUUUGAACAGCUGAAUCUCGAUACGAAGAUGUCUCAUCUCGACUUUCACACUGCUAUCACACAUCAACUGGUACUGUUGUUUAGUGAAUGUCGUUUUGCCCCACAGUCGAUUCUUCCCGCUCCUGCACCUACUCCUACUGCUACUACUGCUGCUGAACUGUUGCCUGUGACUGCACCUGUUCCUUUUCCUGUUGUGACAACUGCUGCUCGGUCAACAUGCUACUGAGAAGCCAUUUAAGAUGCAUCAACGGUCUGUGGCCCUCUGUGGGUGUCUGUCAAAAUCCAGUCACACCUUCUUGAUGGUACUGUACACGUGUAACAGCAUCUUGUGCUGGCUAACUUGACUGGUGCAGUUACUGUACUUUCCACACUACAUUGUUGAUGUCACAGACUAUGAUGAUACAGUACUGAGUAGUACAAUAAUUGUUAAAAUUG